AUUGAACGCUGGCGGCAGGCCUAACACAUGCAAGUCGAACGAGUGGCGGACGGGUGAGUAAUGUCUGGGAAACUGCCCGAUGGAGGGGGAUAACUACUGGAAACGGUAGCUAAUACCGCAUACCAUCGGAUGUGUCCAGAUGGGAUUAUCUAGUAGGUGGGGUACCGGCUCACCUAGGCGACGAUCCCUAGCUGGUCUGAGAGGAUGACCAGCCACACGGGAACUGAGACACGGUCAGGACGCCUACGGUAGGCAGGGGUGGGGAAUAUGGCACAAUGGGCGCAAGCAUGAUGCAGCCAUGCCGCGUGUAUGAAGAAGGCCUUCGGGUUGUAAAGGACUUUCAGCGAGGAGGCGUUACUCGCAGAAGAAGCACCGGCUAACUCCGUGCCAGCAGACGCGGUAAUAC
rnacentral:rRNA from 1 species